CCCCCCCCCCCCCCCACACACACACAUAGGCCGUUGAGCCACGCGGAAUGAUGAUGGAUGGAUGAUAUGAGAAGUGAGAAAAGCCGACAGAGAAAUGGUAAAGAAGUGACAACUCGUUGUGAAGAAUAAGCGCCUCGUUCUUGCCUUACGCUAAAUUCAACAUUGAGAAGUCGAAAAAAAAUAUGCUUGUGACUUGUGUCUAUUUGCAGGCACAUGACCCAAACAUUAUUAAAAUGUAGAGAUAUCUAGAUCUAGAUCUAUUCUAGAGCAUCGUAGGCUGAAGGCUACACUGUGCAACAUUGUGUUAGGCCUAAUGGGUUAAAAUUGGAAACAUCAAGAUUCCUGACAAAAAAAGCAAACACCCCCCUUUAGGUUUUCCCCUUAUGAUGCAGUAUUAGCCCAAAGGUUUUCUCCUGAUGAUGCAGUAUUAGCCCAAAACACGGCCAAUAAAGACAAGAACAAAUCUGAA